AACCAUAGAAACCUGCGGAGUACCUGCGGAAGGAUCAUUACAGAGUUGCAAAACUCCCUAAACCAUUGUGAACGUUACCUAAACCGUUGCUUCGGCGGGCGGCCCGGGUCCUUCCCGGCGCCCCUCGGCCCUCGCGGGCGCCCGCCGGAGGUAAACCAAACUAUUGCAUUGUAUGGCCUCUCAGAGUCUUCUGUACUGAAUAAGUCAAAACUUUUAACAACGGAUCUCAGAUCGGAAGAG
rnacentral:misc_RNA from 1 species